rnacentral:rRNA from 1 species
UACGAAGGGGGCUAGCGUUACUCGGAUUGACUGGGCGUAAAGGGCGCGUAGGCGGAUGGUACAGUCAGACGUGAAAUUCCUGGGCUCAACCUGGGGGCUGCGUUUGAUACGUGCUGUCUGGAGUUCGGAAGAGGGUCGUGGAAUUCCCAGUGUAGAGGUGAAAUUCGUAGAUAUUGGGAAGAACACCGGUGGCGAAGGCGGCGACCUGGUCCGAUACUGGACGCUGAGGCGCGAAAGCGUGGGGAGCAAACAGG